UGGGGGAUAUUGCACACUGGGCGAAAGCCUGAUGCAGCGACGCCGCGUGGGGGAUGAAGGCCUUCGGGUUGUAAACUUCUUUUGCUCUGAACAAGGCGCAACAUGGGGUGUGUUGAGUGUAGGGGUUGAUUAGCGCCGGCUAACUACGUGCCAGCAGCCGCGGUAAUACGUAGGGCGCGAGCGUUGUCCGGAAUUAUUGGGCGUAAAGGGCUUGUAGGUGGCUGGUUGCGUCUGUCGUGAAAGCUCAUGGCUUAACUGUGGGUUUGCGGUGGGUACGGGCUGGCUUGGGUGGAGUAGGGGAGACUGGAAUUCCUGGUGUAGCGGUGGAAUGCGCAGAUAUCAGGAGGGAUACCGGUGGCGAAGGCGGGUCUCUGGGCUGUUACUGACACUGAGGAGCGAAAGCAUGGGGAGCGAACAGG
rnacentral:rRNA from 1 species